rnacentral:rRNA from 1 species
UAAGGAAUAUUGGUCAAUGGACGCAAGUCUGAACCAGCCAUGCCGCGUGAAGGAUGAAGGUCCUCUGGAUUGUAAACUUCUUUUAUCUGGGACGAAAACGGGAUUUUUAUCUCAAUUGACGGUACCAGAGGAAUAAGCACCGGCUAACUCCGUGCCAGCAGCCGCGGUAAUACGGAGGGUGCGAGCGUUAUCCGGAUUUACUGGGUUUAAAGGGUGCGUAGGUGGGCUUAUAAGUCAGUGGUGAAAUCUCCGAGCUUAACUUGGAAACUGCCGUUGAUACUAUAGGUCUUGAAUUAUCUGGAGGUAAGCGGAAUAUGUCAUGUAGCGGUGAAAUGCUUAGAUAUGACAUAGAACACCAAUUGCGAAGGCAGCUUACUACACAUAAAUUGACGCUGAGGCACGAAAGCGUGGGGAUCAAACA